UACGUAGGGUGCAGGCGUUAAUCGGAAUUACUGGGCGUAAAGCGUGCGCAGGCGGCUCCUUAAGUCAGAUGUGAAAGCCCCGGGCUUAACCUGGGAACUGCGUUUGAAACUGGGGAGCUGGAGUGUAGAAGAGGGGGGUGGAAUUCCAGGUGUAGCAGUGAAAUGCGUAGAUAUCUGGAGGAACACCGAUGGCGAAGGCAGCCCCCUGGGCUAACACUGACGCUCAUGCACGAAAGCGUGGGGAGCAAACAGG
rnacentral:rRNA from 1 species